UUCAUUUUUCCCCGGAGGCGUCCGCCGAUUUCCAAUCCGAGGCGUCUUCCAAGAUGGCGUCACCGGGUAGCGUCCCUCAGGUUUCAGUUCAGCCUCAGAGGAUCUUUGUGCGGGAGUUCGGUACUUAUCUCACAUCCACACGCGGAAAUAAGUGGAAGAGGAGCAAGGUCGAGCAGCUUUCGCAACGUUCUAUACUGACGGAUUCGCAAACACAUAUGGU